GACUGCAUGGCGCAAUGGUAGCGCGUUCGACUCUAGAUCGAAAGGUCUGGCGUUCGAUCCGCUCAGCGUUCA
rnacentral:tRNA from 1 species